rnacentral:tRNA from 1 species
GGGCUCGUAACUCAGCUUGGAUAGAGUGCUAGCCUUCUAAGCUAGAAGUCGUGGGUUCAAAAUUCAAUGAAAAUCCCAUCGGGCCCG